rnacentral:rRNA from 1 species
GCGUAGGUAACCUGCCUUGUAGCGGGGGAUAACUAUUGGAAACGAUAGCUAAUACCGCAUAACAAUGGAUGACACAUGUCAUUUAUUUGAAAGGGGCAAUUGCUCCACUACAAGAUGGACCUGCGUUGUAUUAGCUAGUAGGUGAGGUAACGGCUCACCUAGGCGACGAUACAUAGCCGACCUGAGAGGGUGAUCGGCCACACUGGGACUGAGACACGGCCCAGACUCCUACGGGAGGCAGCAUG